rnacentral:rRNA from 1 species
GGUGCAUGGUUGUCGUCAGCUCGUGUCGUGAGAUGUUGGGUUAAGUCCCGCAACGAGCGCAACCCUCGACCUUAGUUGCCAGCAUUCAGUUGGGCACUCUAAGGUGACUGCCGGCUAAAAAGUCGGAGGAAGGUGGGGAUGACGUCAAAUCAUCAUGCCCCUUAUGACCUGGGCUACACACGUGCUACAAUGGGCGGUACAAAGGGUCGCGAACCCGCGAGGGGGGAGCCAAUCCCAAAAAGCCGCUCUCAGUUCGGAUUGUAGGCUACAACUCGCCUACAUGAAGUCGGAAUCGCUAGUAAUCGCGGAUCAGCACGCCGCGGUGAAUACGUUCCCGGGCCUU